AUUGAACGCUGGCGGCAGGCUUAACACAUGCAAGUCGAACGAGUGGCGGACGGGUGAGUAAUGCUUGGGAAACUGCCUGAUGGAGGGGGAUAACUACUGGAAACGGUAGCUAAUACCGCAUACCAUCGGAUGAGCCCAGGUGGGAUUAGCUAGUUGGUGGGGUAAAGGCUCACCUAGGCGACGCUCCCUAGCUGGUCUGAGAGGAUGACCAGCCACACUGGAACUGCGACACGGUCCAGACUCCUACGGGAGGCAGCAGUGGGGAAUAUUGCGCAAUGGGGGCAAGCCUGAUGCAGCCAUGCCGCGUGAAUGAAGAAGGCCUUCGGGUUGUAAAGUACUUUCGGUGGGGAGGCGUUACCCACAGAAGAAGCACCGGCUAACUCCGUGCCAGCCGCCGCGGUAAUUC
rnacentral:rRNA from 1 species